ensembl:misc_RNA Metazoa_SRP Metazoan signal recognition particle RNA
GCUGGACAUGGUGGUGCAUGCCUCUAGUUCCAGCUACUUGGGGAGGUUGGGGCAGGAGGGUCGCUUGAGCCUACUCCUGGGCUGCAGUGCUGUGUGCUGAUCAGGUGCCUGCAUUAGGUUCAUCAUCAUUAUAGUGACUUUCCAAGGAAUGGGAGACCAUCUGGUUGCCUAAGGAGGGGUGAACUAGCCCAGUUUAAAAACGGAGUAAUUCAAAACUCCUGUGCUGAUCAAUAGUGGCAUCACACCUGUAAAUAGCCAUUGUACUCUUGCCUGGGCAACAGAGCAAGACCCCAUCUCA